UUCAGGUAAACAAUCUCAACACGAUAUUUAACAUCAAGUUCAGAACUCUUCAUGUAAACAAUCUCAACACAAUAUUUAACAUCAAGUUCAGAUCUCUUCAGGAAUUUGUUCGUUACUUCCAGAGACACAAAUUAAAUAAUUCUAUUCACCUGACACAGAGUGCUGUAACUGAACCUGUUCAGCAGCCGGAUGAUGAUUACUAUUACGAAGACCUGGAUGACCUUUACGUAUAAACAUUUUUAUGCUUUUACUUGAUAAAAAUUAGAUUAAAUAAUAAUAAAAGCAUAUGAAAAAGUU